CACGGAGCUGUUCAUUCAAGCUAAUAACUACCAUUGAAUACAUUGUAAAAUAAUUGACUUGAUGGUGAAAGUCAAUUUUUUUGCAUUCUGAGGUGUCAAUUUUGAUUCAGACUGAAUUAAUCAUACUUCUGAAGGAAAGAAAGCAAAUAUUUUGAUUUCUCUCAAAACAUACUGACAGGAAAUGAUGUAAUAAUUUGAAUCUGAGUCACGUGAGAAGAAGUUGUGGAGAAGUGCUUGGAGAGCAUCGUCCGUUUCGGCAUGGGGAAGAAAGAAUGAUUAACGUCCUAGCAUUUAAUCGAAGAAUAAACCUGCGGGUGCUGAUGCAGAUUUCAGAAGGGAGUGUAUCCUCAAAGCUCUCAUCAUCUACCUGGGAGAACGUGUUGAGGACCUUAUAAAGGAAUACAUGGUCUCCCAGAAAGAUCAAGCCAAGCAGGAGCUGGAGAGGACCAUCAUGGCAGACUUCGUCUUCAGAGAGAAUUCAAGCCUUCUACAGCAGCCCCAAGACGUUGGGAUUUUCAUUGAUGGUGUGGAAGUCCUCAAUGAGUUGCCUUCUGUUGCAGCCGGAGUUGUAAUGCUCUUUGGACUUUGCUAUGCCCUUAUCAUGGAGUAUCCACAGGGUUUCAGGUUCACCUUUGAGGCCCUUCAGAAGAUCCUGAUGGAGCUUGGUUCCAACAAGAUGACUUCCAAGAUUCGCAAACUCAGUGGUGAACUCAAAACUGCACAGUGGUGUAUAUUUGUGUGUGCUUAAUGUGUGCAUGUAGUUGCCACUGGCUUCUAUUUAAGAGGUAGACCACCUCAGCAGCACUUUGUUAUACAGGCUCACGGUGUCACUUUCGUGGACUGCUUUUGUUGGAAUUUUACUUCUUUGAUGAUGUUUAGAGAUGCAACAUUCCUUCAUGUGUUUGAACAGUACAACAGUGGAUGCUUUCCAACCAUUUAAUUUAGCUUGGUAAGCCAUAUUGUCUUUAUUUCAUUGCU